rnacentral:lncRNA from 1 species
AAAUUGGGUUAUUGGAUGAAAGAGGUGGGGUUUGAACUGGACCUUGUCAAUGGAGAUGAUUUGUUAGUGGUCAUCCUAACCGGAUGAUUGCCUAAACAAACACACAGAGCUGAAUGACUAUGCAUUUGUCAAAUUCUAACCUCAGAGGCUGCCUACCUACAUCAUCUCAUAGGUGGGGGUGGUGGCGGUGGUAGUGAUGGUAGUGGCACAUAUUAAAGCUACAAAACAGUGGACUAGAAGGCCAAGCACAUUUCCAGGGAUGGAGGGGAGGCAAGGAAAUGGACAAAUAUGCCAUAGGCCAGAAACCAGAAACACGCUUGUUAGGAAGAAGCUCUGUACAAGGACAUUCAGCCCUUCUAUCAGCAGACAGGUUGGCAGGAAAGAACAUGUGGAGUGGAGAGAAAGUUCCAGGUGUUACUGUUCCUUCGAAUGACAUCUUUGAUCUACAGCCAACAGGAUUCUUGAAUUUUAAAUCGAAGCUACUAGUGACUCAGACUUUAAUUGGACACACCUCUUGGCCGAGAAGAUUAAUAAUUAGUCCAUUUAACAUGAGGAAACUCUGUACCCUCAAGCCUUCAAAAUAAAUGUUACAGCAGAGAUGGAGAGGAAGUAAUUUAUUAUAAUAACUCUCCUAAAGUUGCCCAAAUGCAAGGAUAGUAAUUUACCAUGCUGUUCUCACUGUCAUCUCCUGCUGGCUCUCUAUCCUGAACCUCCCUGUGAUUCAAACUACAAAUGUUCCAGGGAAGUGAGGGUGUCAUAAGGGGAGGACUGCUCUGUGCAAGAUGGGACAGUGACUCAACUAGAGGCAAAAUCAGGCUUGGGUUUCUGACAAACGAGCAUUGGAAUUUGGAGCGCUAGGUGCCUGUGCUGAAUUUAGCACUAAUUAACAAGAGGAUAUUACUUGCCUAUGCUUCAGCUUUCUGGUGUAAAAUGAAGGAGUUAGAAGAGAAAAUCUGGGACAUCCCUUCCUGUUAGGAGAAAAAAAGAAGCACAUUUAUUUUAGGUCCAGGGGGUGGGAUUAGGAUGGGAAGGAAAGAGUCAAUUAAAUAUCCACAGGGGGAGGCAGGAAAUGGAAGGAACACAACCUAGCCUGGGCUCAGCUCUUUAAUGGUUGUUUCUGAGCAGGAAAACAGGGCAUGACCCUUCGAGGGGCUUUAGAGAUGAGAGUAACAUCCCCUUCCCUAAAGCAAGUAAAUGGGCUUUAUUUGUAUUGUUAUCAUUCAUAGCUUACCCACAUUUUACGCACAUGUUUUAUAUAGUCACUACUUAGUACUCUUUAAAGCCAAAUUAAAA